rnacentral:rRNA from 1 species
GAUGAACGCUGGCGGCGUGCCUAAUACAUGCAAGUCGAGCGAACAGACGAGGAGCUUGCUCCUCGGACGUUAGCGGAGGACGUGUGAGUAACACGUGGAUAACCUACCUAUAAGACUGGGAUAACUUCGGGAAACCGGAUCUAAUACCGGAGAAUAUAUUGAACCGCAUUGUUCAAUAGUGAGAGACGGUUUUGCUGGCAGUUAUAGAUGGAUACGCGCUGCAUUAGAUAGUUGGUAAGGUAACGGGUUACCAAGGGAACUAGGCGUAGACGACCGAACAGGGUGAUAGCCCACCUUGGAACUGGGACAGCGUCAAGACGCCUACGGGAGGGAGCAGUAGCGAACCUGCCGCAAUGGUCGAAAGCCUGACGGAGCAACGCGGAGUGUGUUAUGAAGGUCUUCGGAUCGUAAAACUGGCUUAUUAGGGAAGAACAAAUGUGGACGUAGCUAUGCACGUAUUGACGGUACCUGGUCAGAAAGCCACGGCUAACUACGUG